AUUGAACGCUGGCGGCAGGCCUAACACAUGCAAGUCGAGCGGAUGAAGGGAGCUUGCUCCUGGAUUCAGCGGCGGACGGGUGAGUAAUGCCUAAGUAUCUGCCUGUUAGUGGGGGAUAACGUCCGGAAACGGGCGCUAAUACCGCAUACGUACUGCGGGCGAAAGUGGGGGGUCUUCGGACCUCACGCUAUCAGAUGAGCCUAGGUCGGGUUAGCUAGUUGGUGGGGUAAAGGCCUACCAAGGCGACGAUCCGUAACUGGUCUGAGAGGAGGAUCAGUCACACUGGAACUGAGACACGGCCCAGACUCCUACGGGAGGCAGAGGUGGGGAAUAGUGGACGAUGGGCGAAAGCCUGAUCCAGCCGUGCCGCGUGGGUGAAGAAGGUCUUCGGAUUGUAAAGCACUUUAAGUUGGGAGGAAGUGCAGUAAGUUAAUACCUUGCUGUUUUGACGUUACCAACAGAAGAAGCGCCGGCUAACUUCGUG
rnacentral:rRNA from 1 species